rnacentral:rRNA from 1 species
AUUGAACGCUAGCGGGAUGCCUUACACNUGNANGUCGAACGGCAGCACGGACUUCGGUCUGGUGGCGAGUGGCGAACGGGUGAGUAAUGUAUCGGAACGUGCCUAGUAGCGGGGGAUAACUACGCGAAAGCGUAGCUAAUACCGCAUACGCCCUACGGGGGAAAGCAGGGGAUCGCAAGACCUUGCACU